AGGCCAGUAACUCUAAUUGGUUAGAGUGCCGGUCUCCAAAACCGGAUGCUGGGGGUUCGAGUCCCUCCUGGCCUG
rnacentral:tRNA from 1 species